ACACCCUUUAUAAAUCAGCGAUUGGCAAUUGGAUUUACGAUGGACAGCGAGCGCCACUGGCCAAUUAGCAAGUGUAGGCCAAGUCGCGCCGAGCGGAAAGCUAACUUUCUUUCCUCAUGGACAUUGACAUCGCAGAUGUCACUGACCCGCACCAAGGUGCGCAGCAUAUUUCCUCUGAAACUCACUCGAUAGCAUCAUGCCCAAGGCAACGUUUUCCCUGGUCAUAGUUCCGC
rnacentral:sRNA from 1 species